rnacentral:rRNA from 1 species
CCGGGGUUUCUUCUGCUGCUACCGUCAUUAUCUUCACAGCUGAAAGAGCUUUACGACCCUAGGGCCUUCGUCACUCACGCGGCAUGGCUAGAUCAGGGUUUCCCCCAUUGUCUAAGAUUCCCCA